rnacentral:misc_RNA from 1 species
GAUGAAAACGCAGCGAAAUGCGAUAAGUAAUGUGAAUUGCAGAAUUCAGUGAAUCAUCGAAUCUUUGAACGCACCUUGCGCCCUUUGGCUAUUCUGAAGGGCAUGCCUGUUUGAGUAUCGUGAACACCUCAACUCUCAUGGUCUGCCAUGAUGAGCUUGGACUUUGGGGGUCUUGCUGGCCUACUGUCAGCUCCUCUCAAAUGAAUCAGCUUACCAGUGUUUGGUGGCACCACAGGUGUGAUAACUAUCUACGCUUGUGGUUUUCUGCCAGGUAACCUCCAGUGAUGGAGGUUCGCUGGAGCUCACAAAUGUCUCUCCUCAGCGAGGACAGCUUUUUGAACGUUUGAUCUCAAAUCAGGUAGGACUACCCGCUGAACUUAAGCAUAUCAAUAAGCGGAGGA